AUUGAACGCUGGCGGCAGGCCUAACACAUGCAAGUCGAACGGUAACAGGAAGCAGCUUGCUGCUUCGCUGACGAGUGGCGGACGGGUGAGUAAUGUCUGGGAAACUGCCUGAUGGAGGGGGAUAACUACUGGAAACGGUAGCUAAUACCGCAUAACGUCGCAAGACCAAAGAGGGGGACCUUAGGGCCUCUUGCCAUCGGAUGUGCCCAGAUGGGAUUAGCUAGUAGGUGGGGUAACGGCUCACCUAGGCGACGAUCCCUAGCUGGUCUGAGAGGAUGACCAGCCACACUGGAACUGAGACACGGUCCAGACUCCUACGGGAGGCAGCAGUGGGGAAUAUUGCACAAUGGGCGCAAGCCUGAUGCAGCCAUGCCGCGUGUAUGAAGAAGGCCUUCGGGUUGUAAAGUACUUUCGGCGGGGAGGAAGGGAGUAAAGUUAAUACCUUUGCUCAUUGACGUUACCCGCAGAAGAAGCACCGGCUAACUCCGUG
rnacentral:rRNA from 1 species